rnacentral:rRNA from 1 species
AGGAUGAACGCUGGCGGCGUGCUUAACACAUGCAAGUCACGGGGGGUUUGAGGCGCAAGCCUUGGGCAACCGGCGAACGGGUGCGUAACACGUGAGCAACCUACCGAAAUGAGGGGGAUAGCCGGCCCAACGGCCGGGUAAUACCGCAUACGCUCGAGACCAGGCAUUUGGACUCGAGGAAACCUCGGGGCAUUUCGAGGGGCUCGCGGCCUAUCAGCUAGUUGGUGAGGUAACGGCUCACCAAGGCGACGACGGGUAGCUGGUCUGAGAGGAUGGCCAGCCACAUUGGGACUGAGAUACGGCCCAGACUCCUACGGGAGCAGCAGUGGGAAUCUGCGCAAUGGCCUAACGGCUGACGCAGCGACGCCGCGUGAGGAUGACGCUCGUUCGGAGUCGUUAAACCUUCCUUUUUGCCUUGGGACGUAAUUGCCAGCAUCGAGCUGGCUUACGGACGGUUACCGGAGAAGUAACGCCGACCGG